GUAGCUGGGACUAUAGGCGCCCGCCACCGCGCCCGGCUAAUUUUUGUAUUUUUUUAGUAGAGAAGAACAUGAACUUUCAUGUCCCUAAGUUUCAUUGAAGAAAGCACAGGCCUCUUUGCUUAGUGGUCUGUAAAGCCUAAAAGAAGGUGGUCUGGUUGUUUUCCUGUUUGUCCAAAUGUCGUGAGAAUGAUGACAUUAAUAAGAAAAGUUUCUAGGGGCUUGCUAUUUCAUGUCGCUCAAGGUAGCAGAUUCUAACUCUCGGAACUGUAGGCUGUGGGUUACAGAUUCCUUAAAAUGCCUCACUGCGUGGCAGACCUGAUGUGCGUGGCAGAUUACCCUGCUUGAAGGGAGUCAUGCUGUCCUGGCAAAGGCAGUAACCUGUGUACUUGGGGAACUGGUAAAGAUACACCCUUAAGGAGCUGAGAUGAUUGCAGAGUCAUAAACUCUUAAGUCUAUGUGCCACUGGACAUUUGCAGAGAUGAUCAUACUCACUUUCCCUCCCCCCACCACUCUUCCUUUCAGUUUCCUUUUUAUUUUUUUUUCUCCCUUUCCUGUUAAAAGUAUUAGUAUGUUUAACAUAGUGUUAGGUGACAGAUAAGCUGGAAGAACUAGUAUUGUAAAGGAACACUGAUGUAUACCGGAGCCUACUAGCUCUCAAUCCAUUGCCCCAGACUUGGGGAGAGAGAGCACAUUCUGUAUCCAGAGAAAUAAGAAUAUGCAGUUUAUGGUUGUCCUCUGGACAUUAACUGCCUGUGAAGGUAAGGCAUAUGCCAAAGGCAGUGAUAGAUUCACCAGGAGAUGAUAUGUGACUUUCUUGUAUUUUAAAGCUCUGCUUCUGUUUUAGAAAAAAAUAUCCUAUACUCUCAUCUCCCUUAGCGAGAUCAGGGCCCUAUUUUCACUGAAUCUGCAAGAAAAAAGAAAUUAUGUGAUGGGUAUGACUAGGGCCGUUAGUUUGGUAGGGGGCUAAUUCUGCUAAUCUUGCUUUUGAGACUUGGUGCAAGUAAGUUACAUUUCUCUUUGGUUCUCAUAUAUGUAUUUUUCUGCAGCUAUGCAGUAUGAAUGUGAAGUUGUCAUAGCUGACUCUGUUGGGCACAGUACCAGAGUUCCUCUCAUGAGUGGGAAUUGUCUGUUACACCAGGAACCUGUACUGUACAGUCUCCAUGCUCACCCAUGACUCUGUGACAUACAACGUGAAAGUCAUGGACGCUCAAGAAGGGAAGGAGAGAUUACUUAGCUCUCACUGUGGGGCGGGCAACGUUGUAACUUUCACAUAACUUAAAGAGGUUAUGAUAAUGACAGCGCCGGGACAAGUGAGAGCCAGAAAGGCACUGGGCAACUCUGUGCCUUGCUGAGGAAAAAUAACUAAACAUAGGCAAAGGAGAUCCUAAGAAGCCUAGAGGCAAGAUGUUGUCAUACGCAUUUUUUAUGCAAACUUGUUGGGAGGAGCAUAAAAAGAAGCAUCCAGAUGCUUCAGUCAACUUCUCAAUUUUCUAAGAAGUGCUCAGAGAGGUGGAAGACCAUGUCUGCUAAACAGAAGGGAAAAUUUGAAGAUAUGGCAAAGGCAGACAAGAUCCAUUACGAAAGAGAAAUGAAAACCUAUAUCCCUCCUGAAGGGGAGACAAAAAAGAAGUUCAAGGAUUCCAAUGCACCCAAGAGGUCUCCUUUGGCCUUCUUCCUGUUGUAUUCUGAGUAUCACCCAAAAAUCAAAGAACAUCCUGGCCUGUCCAUUGAUGAUAUUGCGAAGAAACUGUGAGAGAUGUGGAAUAACACUGCUGCAGAUGACAAGCAGCCUUAUGAAAAGAAGCCUGCGAAGCUGAAGGAAAAAUACGAAAAAGAUACUGCUACAUAUUGAGCUAAAGGAAAGCCUGAUGCAGCAAAAAAGGGAGUUGUCAAGGCUGAAAAAGCAAGAAAAAGAAGGAAGAUGAAGAGGAUGAGGAGGAGGAAGAUGAAGAAGAUGAUGAUGAUGAAUAAGUUCUAGCACAGAUUUUUUCAUGUCUAUAAAGCAUUUAACCCCCUGUAUACAACUCACUCCUUUUAAAGAAAAAAAUUGAACUGUAAGGCUGUGUAAGAAUUUUUUAAAACUGUACAGUGUCUUCUUUUGUAUAGUUAACACACUACCAAAUGUGUCUUUAGAUAGCCCUGUCCUGGUGGUAUUUUCAUAGUCACUAACCUUGCCUGGUACAGUAUAGGGGUUGUAAAUUGGCAUAAAAAUUUAAAGCAGGUUCUCGUUGGUGUACAGCACAAGUAAGUUAUAUAUGGGGAUAGUAGUUUUUUCAUUUUCAGUUGUCUCUGAUGCAGCUUAUAUGAAACAAUUGUUCUGUUAACUGAAUACCACUCUGUAAUUGCAAAAAAAAAAAAAAAAAAGUUGCAGCUGUUUUGUUGGCAUUCUGAAUGCUUCUAAGUAAAUACAUUUUUUUUAAAUUAGUUAAAAAAAAGAUGUUAUGAGCAUGGGGAGGCUAGAGCCAGGCUGCCCAGGUUUAAUUCUUGGCUCCGCCACCUACUAGUUGUGUGACCUCGGGCAAUUUAUUUAACCUCUCUGGGUUACAGUUUUAUUAACUGUAAAAGAGGGGAUAAUAAUAGUAUCUAUGUACCAGAGUCGUCGUGAGAAUUAAAUGAACCAAAAUAGGUAAAACAUUGGCACUGCCAUAGUCUUCUCUAAGGUGCAUUUAGGGUUCUUCUCAUUGCAAUUUCUUAUCUGGUUCUGGAAAGGAAAUACAAACACAUCAUUCUCUAUACUUUCUGAUUCUUUGAAGGCAAAAAUUCCUUCAAGAAAAUGUUAGAUGACAGUCCUCACUUGGCAGUACAUUCAUGUAUUGACUUUCCCAAUAGAUGUAUCUAACGACAAUCAAUGCUCUUUGGAAAGCCAUUAACGUGAGAGGCACGAUGUUCAGUCAUGACAGGGUAGUAUAUAUGUCAGUCAUCUGUCUACAAGAGUCCCCAAGGACUUGUUGAUACAAUAGCUCAUAAUCACUCUAAGGAUCAGUCUAGCAAUUUGCAUUUUUAAAAGUCCCUAACUACCUAUUUUCACAAUAGACAGUCCCUGUACUCCCAUAGCUCCAGAUGGGAUCAUUCUCCUUUCUAAAGAGGGCAUUUUAACUUCCUUUCUGAGUAAUCCUUGCUUUAGCAUUAUGAAUGAGUCCUCAGAAAGUAUUGCUCAAUGGACAGAUCUCCCUAAUAUUCAAGCGCUCCCUCCCCACACAUAAAAUAUUGGUAAAUCUGGCCCCAUUUAGGGGGAUUGUUUUGUUUGUUUUUCAUUUGAUAUUCCUCAAAUUUGAUAGAAAACUAUACCUGGUUAUGUUUGACUCUACUAGUGUGCCUUAGUGACCUGCCAGCAAUCCUGAGUGCUCUAGUUUGGAGAUCUUACAGGGUGGAAUCGCCACACAGACCUCCACUACAGAAGUUGCCUCUGACUCUGAGAGAGCCCAUGCAUGUAUGGUGACUUAGAGUCUAAGAAUUUGGGAGACUCUACAGCAAGUACCAGUCCAGAGCUUCUGGAUACAGUGAAAGCUCUGAGACCCUGUUUGGGGCAUAAUGCAGACUCAGGAAUUAUCAUGUUUGACAACCUAUUAUGAAUGUGCUCAAACUUUCUGGAGUUACAGAACCUUUAGAUUAAAAAAAAAAAACAAAACUGCCAGGCAUGGUGGCUCAUGCCUGUAAUCCCAGCACUUUGGAAGGCAGAGGC